UCGAACGGGCGCUCAGCGGGCAUAACGCAUGGCGAAUGGCUACCUGGUAAGUAAUUCAUCUGACCUCGUCCGGUGAUGGGGGAUACGCCCGGGCAGGCCCGUAUUACUUGAGAUUACGCUCAACACAGGAUGGUGGGGGAUCGUCCGACCUGGCGCUAGAGGAGGAGCCCAUGGCCGAUUAGCUAGUUGGUGGGGUAACGGCCCACCAAGGCGACGAUCUGUAGCUGGUCUGAGAGGACGGCCAGCCACACUGGGACUGAGACACGGCCCAGACUCCUACGGGAGGCAGCAGUGGGGAAUCUUGCACAAUGGGCGCAAGCCUGAUCCAGCAAUGCCGCGUGUGUGACGAAGGCCUUCUGGUUGGUAAGCAUCUUUGUCAAGGAAACAUAAGGCGUGUCUCUUAUGGAAACUCCACGACCGUAUCUGUACCAUCAGCCAGCGGUUAUACUA
rnacentral:rRNA from 1 species